rnacentral:lncRNA from 1 species
AUACUUUGAGAUCUGUUCAAUCUUCUACUUAUUCCAUGGCUCAACUAAUAAGACUCUGAAUCUGAUUCACAGUGGUACCAAAGAGAACGAUGAUCAUUUCAUUGCUACAGUUUCACCAAAUUCUGCAGUCACAGAGUCAAGCAAGGAUGGUAUAGAACCAAGAGUUGUCCUCAGGACCCAUUUCAGCUUUUCAAAUAAAGCCUCCCAGGAGGUAAUAAAAAGGACAAAUGUGUUUAAGUCAAUGAAAUGUUGAUGGGGCUUUCUAUAUGGGGAGCAAGUUUUCAGGAUUAUUUUGAGUAUAAUGAGAUGUUAAGUAUAAAUAUUUUUAGGUAAAGAUGUAGGAUGUCAAUGAAAAUCCCAAAAAAGUAAAAUUAGUACUGAUCUUUUCCAUAAAAUCACAGUAAAGAGGAUGCUUUCAAAAAACUGCCUCCAUGAAACACAGUUUUUAUUAUUGAUAUUAUUUGUGAACAUGGAAUCCCUUUUUAAUAGUUAGAAUUAUAGAUAUAUAAGACAGCAGCAUGAAUAUUUUGAAUUCGAAUUAAUUUUAAGUAUUUUGACUUGAUAUCAGAGUGCCAGUAUCUGGUUUCUACUGUUUUUUUUUUGUUGUUGUUGUUGUUGUUGUUGUUUUGUUGUUGUUGUUUUUUACCAUGUAUUUCUUUUCUCUGACAUCUUGACUUCUUUUAGCUGCUGACUGGUUGUGAACAGAGUAUGGCUAUUUCUUUGACCUACAGCCCUGGCUUUCUGUAAUCCACAGAUUCUCAGGUAUAAUCACAACUGCUGUUCAGCCCUUGGACUGAAAACAAAAAGUGUGUGUGUGUGUGUGUGUGUGUGUGUGUGUGUGUGUGUGUGUAUAAACCUAUAGGCAGUGACAGGCUUUAUAUGUCCCACCCAUGUGUUAACAAAAUUGGUGAUAAAUACCCAGUGUGUUCAGUUAUACUACAACUUCAAAAUCUUGGUCAAACCUUUCUCAUUCUUUCAUCUCAUGCCUCUUUUUUUUUUUUGCUCACUCUCUUUAUCCUACUUAUAUAACUAGACCAGCCAUUGUGCCCCUCCCACUGGUUUACUUUUUGAUCAUUCUCUUAAUCUUUCUUUGUGCCAGGUCUGACACAGCUCUGUUCAGAUCUUUUCCCUUUCUCUUUUAGGUUAAAGAUUUUUAAAAUUGUUCCCAGCUCUAUAAGUGCUUUGCUUUUUCAUAUGAUGCUUGUUACCCACUCAGAAAAUUCAUUCCAUGCUUUGAGUGGCUGACUUCUGUGGACCACAUCAACCAAGUCCUUUGCCCUCUGGUUUCUGUUUGGUUUCAACCAAUUUGGGAGGCAUUGACAAAUGUUCAGAAAACAGAGAGGAAGAAAGAGUUGGGAUAUUCCACUCUUCUUCCUGCCUGAUUGUGGUUAUAGCUUCAUUCUACUCAGGCCCAUAGCUUUUGUCAGACACCUCUGUCCCAUGCCUAAAGACCUUGCAAAGUUCCAGAAACUCCUUCUUCAAUUUGUGCUUUAAGGUCUAUGGAUGGUAUUCAUUGGAUGCUUUAUCAUUCCUUCCCUUGAAACCUGCCCAUACCUUUGUAAAUAGUCUCUUCAUUAUAUUUUCUUCUGUUACUCUUUGAAUAAGUCAUCAGUCUCCUGCCAGGGCCCUAAGUAACAGGCAAACAGACAUUAAAAAUUAUUUUUAAUGCUAAUAUCAGCCAAGUAUUCCACUCCCAUGAAUUAUAGCCUUGAAGUUUGAGUAUGAUGUCUUCUAUCAUUCAUUCAACAUGUAUAUAUGCAUGUUUUAAUGUAUGUGUAUAUGCAUAAUCUAGUAAAUACAAUUACAUAGCAAUCGUUCAAUAACUUUGUGGAAUGAAGACCUCUGUCUUGAUUGAUCAAAAAUCUGGUCGGGUUUGCUUUAUGUUCUUAAAACAAUGAGAGAAAAAAAAAUCACAAUACCAUAGUAUUAUGGUUAUAGCUUCAUUCUACAAUUUCAAUACCUAGUUGUCCCCAAUUUUUUUCCUACUCUUUAAUGAUAGAACUGUCUACUCUUUAUUAUAUAGCUCCUUGAAAUAAUGUCUCUAUUUCCCUCUCUGCUACUAGAUGCUACUGUGCUAUUAGAUCUGACCAUGAGAUGUAAAAGUGGAAAUGGUGUGUGCAACAUUGAGGAAGUUCUUCAAAAGAAGAUAAUUCACCAUUCUUUCCUUCUUCCUGCUGGUUGAAAUUAGACCUGCUGGCUCAAGAUCCUUACAGAAGGCAGAGCAACAAGACUGAAAGAGCUGAGUCCUUGACACUGGAAUACCAAAAUCACCCUUGAAUUUCUACCUCCAUCCACUUUUACAUGGAGAGAAAUAAACUUUUAUUUAAGCUACAAUUAUCCUAGGUUUUCUGACAUAUACAGCCAAAAUUAUCUUGUUCAAUGUGGAUAUGUGUAUUAGCUUCCUACUGCUAAAGUAAAAAUAUUACCACAAGUUUAAUGGAUUAAAACAAAUGUAAUUCUAGAAGUCAGAGUACAAAAUGGGUCUCAUGAGACUAAAAUCAAGGUUUUGGCAAGAUGAGUCUACUUCAGAAAACUCUAGGGAGAGUAUGUUACUUUGCCUUUUCCAGCUCCUAGAGGCUGCUCACAUUCCUUGGCUCUUUAGCAUCUUCUUCCAUCUUCAAAGCCAGCAACAUCUGGCAGUCAUAUUGCCAGCUCACUGUUUCUUUUAUACUGCCUCCCUCUUCCACAUAAAAAGGACUUUGCUAUUCAGUUGAACCCACCCAGAUAAUCAGGACAUCUUCCCAUUUUAAGAUCAACUGAUUAGCAAGCUUAAUUCCAUCUGCAAUUUUAAUUCCCCCUUGUGAUAUAACCUAACAUUCACAGGGUUGGGUGAGUAAGACAUGAACACCUUUGGGGGCCACUGUUCUGCCUACUACAGUGUACAGAUUUUUAAGUUUUGUGAUUGAGAAAUACGUUUUUACUUUAUGAUUUAUCUUUAAUACAUUUACAACUUAUAACCCUAUGCUAAUUAGUCAUUACUCUUUAUAGAACAUUUAGCAUUGUGCCCCAUAAUUUUUAAAUUUUAUAUAUGUGAAGGACAGGUAGUCUAAAAAUGAAUUAUAAUCUUUUCUAAAUUCACAGGGAAAGUGUAAGUAGGAUAUUUUCAGUAUUGAAUUUUUCUUCAUAUUUUUAAUAAUUUGCUUGCAGUUAUUUACUUCUCAUACAAGAUUCCAUGUAAGUUAAGAUAAAGUUCAAUAUAGAAUUAUUUUCAAGUGUAAAUUGUACGUAUUUCCUGGUGUUCCUCACUUUCCAAACACAUUUGAGUACAGCACUUUAUGAUCCUCUAAUCGUCAAAAAUUUUAAAUUGGUUAAUUUCAUGGAAAUCCAAAUAGUAUGUUGGUGUUACUCCUUCAUUCAAUGCCUAUUUUCAAUCCUAAAGCUUUAAUGGGGUGGGGGUGAGAGAAUUAAAAGCUAGAAGUCACAGAGUAUGCAAAUCUUAAGGAUGGAACUAUAGUGCUUUUGGGGUGCAUAUCCAAUAGAAUUAAGCCCCACAUAGCUAAUAAUUCCCCCAUACUUUAGUUUGUCCAUGCCACUGAUAUAGCAUUUAUCCCUAUAUGUGGACUUUUGUUGAGAGCCACUGCCACAUCAGGAUGGUGCCUGGCAUUUUGCCAGAAGGAGUGGUUGGGAGGUGACGCCAGUGAGCCAUUAAGAUGAUAAUAAUUAAGUUAAGCUGUGUAUAAUUAUUAAGAUAAUGACUGAUUGCUGUAACUGGAUGAUGCUAAAGUGAAACAAGCUGUGUAUUCAGUUGGUAUAUAAACCUCUGCUGUCCAGCAAUAAGGCGGUUCCUGCUACCUCCGGCGCCCGCUACUUUUGAGUUCCCGUUGGUUCUCGCAGAGUUUCCUUGGAGUUAUGGAGAGUUCCCGUGGGGUUCGGGCAAUAAAGUAGUUCCUGUUUGAACCUACAAGUGGCUAGUGGCCUCUCAGGUAUUUGUGCCCAGCCAGACUGCAGGCAGUUUUUGUUUUGUUUACAUCAGGCCCCUCUCCUAAUUAUCUUUGGGUUUCUGUUACUGAAAGCAGUGCCCGUCCAAAACAUUCUUAAUAAUUAUGGAAAAGAGGGAAGGUUUCUUGUCAUUGAUGAAUCAUUACAGCACAGAAAUUUUGUGAAGAGCAAAUAGAAUAGGGUUUGCGGACUAUACCAUAUGUUAUCUGGCACUUGGUAAACAGUACAUGAAAGACAACAAAAAAUAAAUAAAUUCUUAGGCAAAGAUUAAAGUCAGAUGUAAAGGACAUAAUCACUAGAAUUCUUAUAUAGUGUCUUUCUCUUCAAAGCAAAAAAGAUAAUCUUUAUCCCUGAAAUUGUCAUUUAAAGCACAGGUAUAACUAAAGAACAAAAGAAAGAGAUGAUGUUAACAUGUUUUGCUUAGCAUUAGUUGGAAUAUUGUCUAAAAAUGUUAGCUUACCUUAGCUAUAUUAUUUAAGGAACUGUCUCUACAAUAAGUACACUUCCAACCCUAGGAAAAAUAACACUAUUUGCAAUGCAAUUAGCUAGCCUGUGGCACUUGCUAUUCUUAUACAGAUCAUUUUUAAAAUGCAAGUAAAGAUUAUGAAAGAAAUAUAAAAAUUGCCUUAGUGUUGUUUCUUGAUUUGCAGAUACCUAUUUGAACUGUAGAAGCAAAAAGUAGGAAAUUAUCAUAAAGAUAUUGGUGAUUUUUUUUUCAUAGAAUCCAAAAGUAAGAAUGAAGUCAGGUCUCCCAAAUGAAGAAUCAUGAAUACCUCUAAAUGUACAGGUGGUGCCUCUCCAUUUUUUGGCUCUUUGUGUUUCUGUUCCAUUUUGUUGGAAGGCCUACUGUUGUGCAUGAAGGUAGUGUGAGGAGACAGAUAAAUACCUGCUAUAACCAUUCCAUAGUGCUUAGAGAAAAAAAUCCUACAUCGAAAGUGUUAGUCAAUAAAAAUUCUGGUUUUUUUGUAGUUACAAUAGUCAGUUUUUCCAUAUACAUAUAAGAACAACAUAAUUUAGUAAUUUCCUUUAACCUACAUCCAUUUUCCUACAUAGCUACAUAACCUUUAUAUUUGUCCUUUUUUACAUGAUUGUAACAUUCAAGUUGAUAAGUGUAAUUUACUAAGCCAGGGUUCAUAUUGUUGAAAGUUUCAUUAUUUUUGCUUUAUAAAGAAUAAACACUAUUAUAAUAAAGUUUUGUUUUUAUUUGAUUUUUUAUAAUUUCCUGAGAAUACUCUCAAAAUUGGAAAUACUUACUAGAUGGAAAUGACCAUAUUUGUCUUUUUAAACAUAUUGUCCG